CACGUAGGGCGCAAGCGUUGUCCGGAAUUAUUGGGCGUAAAGAGCUCGUAGGCGGUGUGUCGCGUCGGCCGUGAAAACCUGGGGCUCAACUCUGGGCGUGCGGUCGAUACGGGCAUCACUUGAGUUCGGCAGGGGAGACUGGAAUUCCUGGUGUAGCGGUGAAAUGCGCAGAUAUCGGGAAGAACACCCGUGGCGAAGGCGGUUCUCUGGGACGGUACUGACGCUGAGACGCGAAAGCGUGGGGAGCGAACAGG
rnacentral:rRNA from 1 species